CUAAGUUGUACCUGUCAUUGAGAAAGUCAUGGCAUCUUAAAAUAGAAUUAAGAACAGAUUGCCAACAUGCUUUUUUCCGGCUGUUGUCGGUGACCUACAAGAUCCAUUUAUAAAUAUUGCUCACAAGUUUCUCCAGGCCCUUAUUCACCAGUGUGGAAAGGCCAAGGACUGUUACUGCUGCAGCACAGCUGAAGAAAAUUAUUUCCACCCAGAGAAGAGGACAGUGACCCGCUUUGCUCUUUUAUUAGUCAACUGGCAUCUGUGCAGAGCUUCCUCGAUUGUCCUUGAUUAAGAGCUUAGACCUGCUUCUACUGAAGAAUAUUGCUUAUUACUGCUUGGUUUCUCCACAUCUGAAACAGUUCACAGAAAUGUGCCAGUCAUGGAGUCUACUCUCUCUGAUUGCCCCCAACAUCGUGAAGUUCUCUGUGACACCUCUGAGGCUGAUGCCAUUUACCUACUCAUGAGACGUAGAAUUCCUGUUGGAAUGAGGCAGACUUUUCCCUCUUCAAAUAAGGUGUUAUGGCCACUGUGUUUAACUGCAGUAAAUCAGAACUGGUAUCUUUUAGGUCAUAUUAAGCUCCCACUAGUACUGUCUGGCACUUUUAUUCAGUGAGUAUAUAAUAUGCCAAAAAUAAAGCUUCUCUUCGAUU